AAUCAGGAAAGAAGUGGAGUUUUCAACUCAACCCAUGAGCUAGAACUACACAAGUUGUUCCGAACUUAGUUUAUCUUAUUGUAAGUUUCGAAACGAUAUAUUAUACACCUAAAACGGACAUAUGUAGUCCAAAUGAUAACCUCUAAAAUGUACCCUACUUGUCCCACGCAACUAUCGUAUAUCAUUUAGUCUAUACUUUGUCCUUUGGGAAAGAUAAUUGGGCCGAAGACGUGCAUAAGGUACCGAUAAAUGACCUAAAAAUCAAUGGCAAUAUCCAAUUUAAAUAUGGAUAAUUAACACUCAUGUCAAGUUAAAUCCGAACUUAUUAAAGAUGUUCAUAUUCCAUACUCAUGCCCACCUCCAGAGAGCUUGGACAUAGAUAUAAAUUUUAUCCACGUUGAUAAAGAGGCAGAGGUUAGUGUUAAUUUGAAUGCAUCUUUUGACUAUUUAUUUGUUGAAUAAAUAAAUUUCCCACCUUAGAUAUAAUAUGCUUCGUUAUACAUGCUCCCUUUCUUUUUUCUUCAAACUUCGCUCUGCCGCCAGGGAUACUAAUUAGUUUUAUUAAUUUUCAUUUGUGCAUAUUACGGGGCAAGGCGAAAAUUCAUUCCUUUACUAUUUUUGUUAGUAAUUAUGAUAUAUUUGUAAAAUUAUGAUAUUGUUGGACCAAAAAUAAAAUAGGCCCAAUCAAAGCCCAAUUAAAUUUACUCUUAAUAAAGCCCAUGAAAUGGUGAACAAACCACCUAGGAUUAAGGAUGGCAAUAUAAUCCGGACCCGGCCCGAACCCAGACGAACCCGCACCGGAGUUGAAUUAAAUGCGGAACCAAAUUUAAUUUUUUAAACCCGGAUGUGUCCGGGUCCGGAUCCGAAUUUAAGUGAACCUGUAUAUCCGGAACCCAGACCCAAACAUCUUUAUUUUAAUAGUAAUUUUUUUAAUAUAAAUAUAAAAGAAAGAAAGGGAAAGAGGAGCCCUAGCACAACCGGACCUAGUUUGCAAUUCACAUUUUCCUCUUCUCAAAUCUCACAUCUGCGGGCUGCUAACCAUAUUUCGUCUUCUCUUCACCAAAUCAAAUCAUUGUCGUCAUCGCUUCAGCCAUUUCCUCUUCUCUACGUUCAUUAUCAACAUCAUCAGUUGCUUUGUUCCUCUUCUCUGCGCUGUCAAGACAUCCAACCCUUCUCAAUCGUUCAACUGCUGCAAAAUUGAGUGGACUAGCUUCCACCUCUAAGCCCACCUCUGCUUCUCUCUUGUCAUCUCUUCAUAAACUUUCUCUCUCUCCAUGGUUCCAGUGGAACUGGGUGGGGGCUCGCUUGUCAACACUUCACAAACUCUCUCUCUCCAUAGUUCUCGUGGAGAUGGUUUGUGGGUGCUUCCUUUGACGUCAUUGCAUGGUGGAUCUGGGUGGGCCUUUGUGUUUGAUGCCAUUCAAAAUUAACUGUAAUUUUCAUGCGUCCACUUAUUAUAUUAAUUUAAUCUUAAUAUUUUUUGGCAGUAAUUGUAGCAUCUCUAUAUCUCUAUAAGCUUCUAUCAUGUGUACUUGACAGAAUAUCAUCAACUAAGAAAAAAAUGUUUCAUCUGGUUUAAUCUGUGAUUGAAAUGUAGUGUCCAACUUCAUAAGGAGAUGGAAAUUUUUUUUUUCAAAUCAUAAUUCAUAAAGCAAUAUGGGUUUCAAACUCGGAUUUUUCCGAGUUGAACCUAUUCCGAACUCGUAUGCAGGAAAACUAGAUUUAUAUUCAGGUCUGGUACAAGAAAAUAGCACCCGGGUCCGGAACCAGAAAUGCCGAACCCAGACCUGGACCCGAAUUUUGCCAUCCCUACCUAGGAUAAUCCUCCUAGGUAACAAGGCUUAAAAGCCCAAAAUUUUACAAGGUCCAAGACUAAAAGUUUCUAAAGUUCUAAGACCCAAUCUUAAGAUAAACCACCUAGGAUAAUCCUCCUAGGUAACAAGGCUUCAAAGCCCAAAGAGUUACAAGGUCCAAGACCGAAAGGUUCUAAAGUUCUAGGAUCCUAUCGUAAGACAAACUACUUAGGAUAAAUCUCAUAGGUUCUAAGGUUCCCAUCAUCCUAGAGUCUCAGUAAAAACAACAUAAGGUUAAAACGCUUAAUUCUUUAAUCUAUGGACAAGUUUGCAUAUCCAUGUGUCAAUCAACAUGGGCACAAGCAAACAAGUGUCGCCAGAUGUCACAAGAACAAUGACACUUGUCAUAAAAAUAAUUAGGACUCAAGUCAAAUCAACUUCGCCUAUAAAUAUGUCUCAUAUUCUCACUAAAAGGUAAGAAAAACAGACUUAAAAGGGGAAACACUGACUUUUUUUCUCUAAUGUUUCUCUCUCUAAAUUUACAUAACUAAAAAUUUAGUGACUGACUUGAGCGUAUGAGGGUUUAUGCCGGUAAAGCGCCCCCUUUGAUCAUUUUCUUGUGCUUAUAGAGUAUCAUUAGGUAAGGGCAUUUUCACCUCCUAAGGAAGUAGACCCAGAGGAGACUCAAAGGCCCAUUAAGAUCAAUUCAAAGGGAAAACUCAUCAUCAUUAGAUCCAACUAAGAGGAAUCCCAGUCCUAAAGGGGGGUCGUCUUUGGUUGGAAUUUUUACCUAAUAAGUUGGGAAAAAAUUUACACCAACAGAUACAAAAUUCGUUCUUUUAAUAAUGUCAUACAUAAUGCGUUAUUCAUUUAUUAAUUGAUAUUGUAAUAUUAUCUCAUUAAUGAUAAUAUAAAAGGUCAACUAUUAUUAAACACAUUGUAAUCAUUGGUUUGGUGAGACAACAUUUAUGCAUCAUUACUGUAUUUUGAAUUUCUGAUCUCUAGUUUGCUAAAUUGAAGAUAUUGAUAACAAAAUUAUUUUGAUUUUUUUUUGGGGUUUGGGAAAUUAUCAUUUUACUACCAAAGUUAUUCUGACAUAUCAUGUCAGUACCAUGGUUUGCCGAAAAGUGUAUUUUACUCCCAAACGUUUGUGCCGUUAUCAAUUCACUACUAUUCUGUUAAGAAAACGUUAAUGUUUAACAAAAAUUGAGUUAAAAGUCGAUUUUA
rnacentral:lncRNA from 1 species